rnacentral:rRNA from 1 species
AUUGAACGCUGGCGGCAGGCCUAACACAUGCAAGUCGAGCGGAUGAAGGGAGCUUGCUCCUGGAUUCAGCGGCGGACGGGUGAGUAAUGCCUAGGAAUCUGCCUGGUAGUGGGGGAUAACGUCCGGAAACGGGCGCUAAUACCGCAUACGUCCUGAGGGAGAAAGUGGGGGAUCUUCGGACCUCACGCUAUCAGAUGAGCCUAGGUCGGAUUAGCUAGUUGGUGGGGUAAAGGCCUACCAAGGCGACGAUCCGUAACUGGUCUGAGAGGAUGAUCAGUCACACUGGAACUGAGACACGGUCCAGACUCCUACGGGAGGCAGCAGUGGGGAAUAUUGGACAAUGGGCGAAAGCCUGAUCCAGCCAUGCCGCGUGUGUGAAGAAGGUCUUCGGAUUGUAAAGCACUUUAGGUUGGGAGGAAAGGCAGUAAGUUAAUACCUUGCUGUUUUGACGUUACCAACAGAAUAAGCACCGGCUAACUUCGUG